rnacentral:rRNA from 1 species
GAUGAACGCUGACAGAAUGCUUAACACAUGCGAGUCGAUUCGAUUUACCUUCGGGUAUUGAGGAUGGCGGACGGGUGAGUAACGCGUAAGGAACUUGCCUCUUGGUCUGGGACAACUGUUGGAAACGACAGCUAAUACCGGAUAUUAUGAGAUUCUCGCAUGGGAAACUUAUGAAAGCUAUAUGCGCCAAGAGAGAGCCUUGCGUUCCAUUAGCUAGUUGGUGGGGUAACGGCUCACCAAGGCGACGAUGGAUAGCCGGCCUGAGAGGGUGAACGGCCACAAGGGGACUGAGACACGGCCCUUACUCCUACGGGAGGCAGCAGUGGGGAAUAUUGGACAAUGGACCAAAAGUCUGAUCCAGCAAUUCUGUGUGCACGAUGAAGGUCUUCGGAUUGUAAAGUGCUUUCAGUUGGGAAGAAGCAAGUGACGGUACCAACAGAAGAAGCGACGGCUAAACACGUGCCAGCAGCCGCCGUAA